ensembl:lncRNA
GUGUAAUGGCGGAGUUUCCUACUACCCGUGAAUGCCUCUUUUUUUGCAUCUCCGGCUGACUCCUGAAUCUCCGCCCACUCUCUGCUCGAUCCCUGCCGAGUGAAAGAGAUCUUUGGUUUUGCCUUUGCUGACUGCUGAUCUGAUCGUCUCAAGUCUGGUGACCUGCUGCAGAAAACCCUCUCCCUCUAUCAUUAACAAGCAAUUCAGUCUGUCCUAUCACUCUCCCUCUCCCUGCUCCAUCUUUUUUGACAAGCCAUUCUAUCUUCUAUCAUUUCUCCGCCAUGAGCUCUAUCUAAUUUGACAAGCUUGAACCUGAGUUGAAAAGCAAAACAAGUUUGAAAAGCAAAACAAGUUUGAAAAGCAAAACAAGUUUGAAAAGCAAAACAAGUUUGAGAAACCCAAGUUUGAGAAACCCAAGUUUGAGAAACCCAAGUUUGAGAAACCCAAGUUUGAGAAACCCAAGUUUUUGGAAUUGAAGUUACCGCAACUUCAUCGAUCUGUUUUCAGAAUUCGGAGAGAUCUCCGCUCUCACUGCUCCUUCUUUCCUGUCGUUAAACUUUCAUAUCCACUCAUUUUGCUGGAAAUUACUAGUAAAAAGUUGAAUAUACAGUAAUAGAAUUACAGUACAGUAGAACUCACUGUAGAAACUACUUACAGAGCCCUACAUUUGUCAUUUUAAUUUUGCAUUACACUUUGAAAUAAGCACUGAUAGUUUGGCUUACAAGUGCAAUUUGAUAAAUUAUAUAAACUUAUAUACACCUUUUUUGAGAUAUAUUUGUAGUAAGAUAAUUUGGUUAUUUUGUAAUUCAGACUGUUAUAUUCACAUAAAUAUUAAAUUUGAUUCAAAUACAUUUUUCAAGUCUGUUUCAUUGGUUAUAACAUUUGACUACAAGUUUAUACUAUUAUUAUUUAAGGACAAACCCUUUUUUGUCACUCAGUGUAAGUAUUCAAUUACAGUUAUCAUCUAGAGGCUCUCCUGAGAUCCCAGACUUCCUGUUUCCUGGCUGCUGCAGAACAUCCAGCUGAAGAAUCCCCAUCGCCUGUCAUCUGAUCACCACACCAUCACAGCUCCUUAUAUUUGCUUUAAAAUUUAAAUAUCUGAAAGAUUUACACAGUCUACUUAAAAUUUAAGAGUUUUAUUAUAGCCUGUUGAUUGAUUGUUGAGAUUUAUUCUGCAUAUUACAUUACAGAAGUAUAGACCUAUUUGUUAUCCAGUCUGGUUAAAAAAAAUACAAGUAAUAAUAUACAGUUUUUGAAAAAAGUUACAAUAAAACAGACCAAAGUGUUUUCAAAGAACUUUUAUAUUGAGUUUGUAUUUAAGUCAGCC